UGGAGAGGAGGAGGGGGGGGGAGGAAGGAGCUUGAAUGCCCCCAGGCCUGAAGGGGGGGGACCAGACCCCCCAAACCCCCUCUCUAGCUACGUCCUUGCUUUCAUUUCUCACAUCUAGUCUUCUGCAACCAAAAGAUGGAAGAAGGCAUAGAAAAACAUGGGAGGAUAAUAAAUGGAGAGCAACACCAUCUGGUUCUUUGAUUUCACAAUAAAAGUGUAUUCCAGAAGCACCCCCAGAGUGCAGAUCUUGCAUCCCCAGAUGUUGUUGACUACAAGUGAUGUUCCUUAGAGGUAUUCUAGAAGGUGAAAAUGCAGUACAACAGUCUAACUUGACACCUUGUAUAAGCGAGUAUGGUCUUUAGUGUCAGCAGAAAAACUGAUGUCAAUGAUUUACACAAAAGGACAGAAACACAAAUUGUUUCUUCACGCAAGCACCAACAACAGUCAAAUCAAACAAACCAUAAUUAUUCAUAUGAACAUGUGGCAAAAGUCGUUCAGCUGAGAAGACAUCAUCUAAUGCUUAUUGUUCUGUUUCAUCCAACCUCCUUUUUGUGUGUGAUCCAAAUUAAAAUUCUUCCCCACUGUUUAUUGUUGACAUUAUUAUUGUUGUCUGUUAAAGUGUUAAUGUCACCAUGUGUCCACACAGUGUUGUGGUUUCUUGUAGCUUGUUGAUCAAUUUAGAUAAUAAAAAAGAG